UUUGUUAGGCUUGCUUAAAAGUUUCUGUGCGUCGCUACUUCAUAUUUUAAGUAAUUUACAGACAAAAAACAUAAUUCUCAUAGAUAAGAUUACGUAGUAUUUAAGGGUUUUGAAGUUUUAAUCCAAUAUCUGGGUAUGACAGGAGAACGUUGCCUUCCUGGCAAGGAUCCUGACCUUUGUCGGCCUAAGCCUGCAAAAGUUUGCUUGCAUGUGCAUCUUAUUUCUACGUGCCUGGCAUAUUUUAUCCUCAGAUAUGCCCAUGAUGAGUUGUCAGUAG
rnacentral:lncRNA from 1 species